rnacentral:rRNA from 1 species
CCCUAUUAUUUUAAUGAUUGAUUAAAUCCUAGAUAGUAAAAGUUAUUUUAAGAAAUUUAAAGAUUUUGGCGGUGUUUUAUUUCUUUAUAGAGGAAUAUGUUUUUUAAUCGAUGAUCCCCGACUAUCUAACUUAAAUUAAUUUUAGUAUACCUCCGUCUUCAGAAUUUUUAAAAAAUAAUAUUUCUUUAUAAUUUUUAAUUAAAAAGUCAGGUCAAGGUGCUGAUAUAUUUAAGUAAAAAUGUAUUACUAUAAAAUUAUUUUUGGAUAUAAAAUUUAAAUAUUUUAUUAAAAUUGGAUUUAUGAGUAAAUUUUUAUAUUUUAUUUUAUUGAUAUAAGAUUUAAAAUAUGCACACAUCGCCC